AUAUCGGAACGUACCCUAGAGUGGGGGAUAACGUAGCGAAAGUUACGCUAAUACCGCAUACGAUCUAAGGAUGAAAGUGGGGGAUCGCAAGACCUCAUGCUCGUGGAGCGGCCGAUAUCUGAUUAGCUAGUUGGUAGGGUAAAAGCCUACCAAGGCAUCGAUCAGUAGCUGGUCUGAGAGGACGACCAGCCACACUGGAACUGAGACACGGUCCAGACUCCUACGGGAGGCAGCAGUGGGGAAUUUUGGACAAUGGGCGAAAGCCUGAUCCAGCAAUGCCGCGUGAGUGAAGAAGGCCUUCGGGUUGUAAAGCUCUUUUGUCAGGGAAGAAACGGUGAGAGCUAAUAUCUCUUGCUAAUGACGGUACCUGAAGAAUAAGCACCGGCUAACUACGUGCCAGCAGCCGCGGUAAUACGUAGGGUGCAAGCGUUAAUCGGAAUUACUGGGCGUAAAGCGUGCGCAGGCGGUUUUGUAAGUCUGAUGUGAAAUCCCCGGGCUCAACCUGGGAAUUGCAUUGGAGACUGCAAGGCUAGAAUCUGG
rnacentral:rRNA from 1 species